UGAUUCUAUAACUCUCUAAUGCGUCUGUCUCUCUCUUUCUCUCUCACGCCUCUGCCCUCUGUCUUUCUGUCUCUUCCCCUAAUUUCAGCCUCUAGGGUUUUCUCUGUCGAUGCUUACCAUGGUGGUCCUCCGACAUGGGUUUUUGCUGUGUUACUGGCUGCUGCUACUGUUGCAUGCUGGCUGGCUUGUUGUGUGCAUAUGCUGGCUGCCAACUGUUGCUUGCUGCUGAUUACCUGAUGUUUGAUGGUGCUUUGGUCUCAUGCUGAUUACCUGAUUUUUGCUACUUGAAUUGAUUUUUGCUUUCAUUCUUUAUAAAAAGGAGUGAGUAACGAUGUCUCAGAUAGGAGGAGCAAACUUGUUAGUGAUCUGAAUGACCUAAGUGGAGAGGGAAAUAUUGAAAGUAUGCUUUCAUUGAAACCGGGGGGAACUAGCUUCCUUGAAGGUCGAGGAUGCUGUUAUGCUUGCAUUUGCUCAACGUCAACGUCAACGUCCAAAUUUGGUUCGACAAUUCUUCUCAGAUCCAAAUCAUCCGGUGAUCCCAAGUUUGUGGAGGCAUAUGAACUAAGUUCAGAGGAAUCGAAAGAUGUUCUUUUCAAGCAGGUCUGCUUCUUGUUUCUCUAAAUUAGUUAGUUUUGUCAUGCUCGUGGCCUUUUUGAUGAUGUAUCUACCAUGCUUAUACUAUUUUGCGUGCUGGAUUGUUGAUUAAGUAAAUCUCAGGAACAAUGUGUGGGGCAUCCUCAGGCUUUUCUAACUUGGAAGCAUCUUUGAAGUUUUCCACCACCUUUUUUUCCUCACUUAGAAAAUUGAAAAAUAAAAGGGUGAACACUAUCAUCCAUAAUGUCAUUUGCAACAGCAAGGUGGAGACUAAUCUAGUUGCCUAUUGGUCAAUGGUGGUACAAGAGUUGUAUUUUUAUUCCAAAUUUAUAGGUUCUAACUAAAAUUUUAACCUCGUGACUGACUAAUAUGAACUUUCCACAAAACAUCAUCCUAAGGUAAUGUUUGGUUGAUUGGAAUGAAUGUGGAUUGGAGGCACUCUUGAGAUGCAAAAGUUGUUAUGGUGUCAUUUUGGGUCACAAAUUAUUGUUCUUGACAUCUUGUUUAUAUCGAGGUAUAUAUAUAUAUAUCUAAUAUAAGAACAUGGACACAUUGGAGGCCCUCUUGAGAUGCUCUUGCUUCUGAUUUCACCCUGCCCCACUAAAUAUUUUUGUUUCCACCCAAGCCUCAUCCUAACCAUAUUGAUAUAAUUGUUCAUCCUAAUUUGUUAUAUAUCAUUCUCCAAUGGAGAGAAGACAACAGUUGAGAGUGUUGCAGAUGCCAUUUUUGAGAAUUGAGCCGAGUUGGUGCAUCUUCCUUCCACCAUGGAUCUUCAUGUGCCACUGCCAUCCAACGACUGCCCAAGUUGUGAUGGAUCGGUAAGAGCUAUUCUGGAAUCAUUGAAGCACAUAAAAUUAAGUUGCCAUAUUUUCCCAACCCUCCUAGUAAUAGUUAUUGGUGCUUCAUUCUGAACACUAUUGAAACAUUCUCGUGCACUGAAUUUUUAUUUUUUAUUUUUUAUUUUUAUGACAAUCUAUUGCAGUGGGUGAAUAGUAUUAAGUUCCCAAUCUUAUAGUCCUCAUUUUAUCUAGCUUAGAUUGCAUUUCAAUCUUGCCAUGUCUUUUUGUGUGGGAUAUAUCUAAAAGUUGUCGAUACAUAUUUGAUGGUAGUGCUUGACUUUGUUCAUAUUUCUUUUAAUUUAUUUUCAUAUCUAUUAACUUUUGCUUUAGACUAACUUGUACAUUUCGAUGAUGUCGGAGCAUUAAGUUCGAUUUUUGUAUUAUUAAUGUUGCAAGGUGUGAUGAAAUGUACUGAAUGCAAAAGAUAAAUUACAAAUAAGGAUUUCAGCGGAUGAUGUGAGUCUUUGCCAUUUGAUUGAUUCUUUAGUUGAUUCACUACUUGUGCAUUCAAAUGUGGCCAACUUGUCCCGACACUAGCACACUAUUUGAACUUCUGUGCCUUAAGUAUGUGAAACUAGUACACAUAUGAAACUGCAUAGUACACAUAUGAAACUGCUACAUUGCUUGUCAACUUUGGAACUUAAUCACAUGGAAUUUUUUCUCUGUUCCGUUCCUCAUAUUGCUUCUAUUGAUAUUUUAUCAUAUAAGUAGAUUCAUAGAGGACUUGAAAUGCCUAAAUUUUUACAAUAGGCAUUUUAUAUGCCCUUCUUUUUGUUCAUCUCCUUGAUAAUCUAAAUGUCAUUAGAAUUGUGCAUUUAUUUCUUCAAUAAUUGUGUAGGUUUUAAUUAGAAAUUUCAUUAUUUAUUGUUUAUUUGAUGAUCAUUGUAACAUUUUUCAUCAUUAAAUUUCUUUCACUCCUCAAAAAACCAAGAAAGAAAAAAAAAAUGCUGCUUACAUGUGAUGUUCUGUCAAAAAGAAAGGUCAUUAAUGAGACUGUUUUGGUUUUGUGCUGUUCUUGAAUGAGUUAAGUGGGUUCUCUUCCUGAUUCUAUUUCUUCAUUAUUAUUUAAAGGGUGGCUUGAUUUUAAUUAUUUCGAUUGGGAAAUGAUUAUUAGGGAAACUUUGCCUAGUGGGCUAUGUGGAAAAUCAGGAAUGAAGGUAGGUAGGUAUAUGUACCCUUAUUUUAAUAUACCUAAUUACGAGGAUGUAAUUGAUUCCAUUUAAAGUUAGAACAUCAGUUUUAUGGGGUGAAGGAAAAGUCUCAGUUUACAAAAUUUUUAGUUAGUGAGUUUUAUGUAUAAUUUAAGAGGAAUUAAGCGAGUUGGUAAGUGAGUAUGUUUCUAGUUCAAAUCUUAUUCUAUUUGCUUAUUGGUCGAUGGUGUGACUAUUAAAUCUCAAAUUUAUUAUAUGAAAUGCGUUUAGAUGAGUUCUUGAUUUUAAAAAAGAAAAGAAAACUUAGGACUCUUUAAGUGUGUUACGUAAGGAAUUUGUUUGGGUAGUAAUUCGAUGAACGUAUCUUUGUAUACAUGUGUGUUACGUAGUGACAACAAUCUUAACUUUUUAUGUAAUGAAAGUAAUGAUUGUGUAAUCACAUCAAAUUGAGAUCAUUUAAAGAAAUAUCCAAAUCAUUAUAAAGUAAACAGUAUAUAUCAUUAGUUCAGGAUUUUCUUUUGGAUUUGUUAAUUCUAUGUGUAUUUGGUUUUAUAACUUUAAAAUAUUUGGUCACACAUUGAAGAUUUUCAUUUUGGAUUUAUUGAUUCUAUGAAUAUGUCAUUUCUGUAUGGUAAUCCAAACAUUUUAUACUAGUAACAAUCAAAGUGGUUAUUCUUUUUCUAUUG